UACGAAGGGGGCUAGCGUUGCUCGGAAUCACUGGGCGUAAAGCGCACGUAGGCGGAUCGCUAAGUCAGGGGUGAAAUCCUGGAGCUCAACUCCAGAACUGCCUUUGAUACUGGCAAUCUCGAGUCCGGGAGAGGUGAGUGGAACUGCGAGUGUAGAGGUGAAAUUCGUAGAUAUUCGCAAGAACACCAGUGGCGAAGGCGGCUCACUGGCCCGGUACUGACGCUGAGGUGCGAAAGCGUGGGGAGC
rnacentral:rRNA from 1 species